rnacentral:rRNA from 1 species
UACGUAGGGGGCGAGCGUUGUCCGGAUUUAUUGGGCGUAAAGAGCUCGUAGGCGGUUCGGUAAGUCGGAUGUGAAAUCUCCACGCUCAACGUGGAGGGGCCAUUCGAUACUGCCGUGACUCGAGUACGGUAGAGGAGUGUGGAAUUCCCGGUGUAGCGGUGAAAUGCGCAGAGAUCGGGAGGAACACCCGUAGCGAAGGCGGCACUCUGGGCCGAUACUGACGCUGAGGAGCGAAAGCGUGGGGAGCAAACAGG